GGAUUAGGCAUGCAAGUCGAACGAGGGAGUGUUCCGAAAGGGGCACAAACCGAGUGGCGUAAGGGUGAGUAAUGCAUUGAUAACCUACCUUUGAGACGGGGAUAACAACGUUCCGCAAGGGACUCCCGAAAGGGUUGCUAAUACCCGAUAAAACUCAUGGUGCUUCGGUAUCGGGAGUCAAAGGUUUGGGGCUGAAAGGUUCCAUAUGCUCAGAGAGGGGUCAAUGUCCUAUCAGCUAGUUGGCAGGGUAAAGGCCUACCAAGGCGAAGACGGGUAGCCGGCCUGAGAGGGUGGUCGGCCACAUUGGGACUGAGACACUGCCCAGACUCCUACGGGAGGCUGCAGUCGAGAAUCUUUCGCAAUGCCCGGAAGGGUGACGAAGCGACGCCGCGUGUGGGAAGAAGGCCUUCGGGUUGUAAACCACUGUCGGGAGUUAAGAAGUGUAAGGGGGUGAAUAGCCCUCUUACUUGACGUUAGCUCCGGAGGAAGCCACGGCUAACUCUGUGCCAGCAGCCGCGGUAAUACAGAGGUGGCAAGCGUUGUUCGGAAUUAUUGGGCGUAAAGAGCACGUAGGCGGCCCUACAAGUCAGCUGUGAAAUCCUUCUGCUCAACGGAAGAACGGCAGUUGAUACUAUAGGGCUGGAGUGCGGGAGGGGAGAGUGGAACUUCUGGUGGAGCGGUGAAAUGCGUAGAUAUCAGAAGGAACAUCGGCGGCGAAAGCGACUCUCUGGCCCGUAACUGACGCUGAGGUGCGAAAGCUAGGGGAGCAAACGGGAUUAGAUACCCCGGUAGUCCUAGCCGUAAACGAUGGGCACUCGGUAGAGGGGUUUUGAUUAUCUCUCUGCCUGAGCUAACGCGUUAAGUGCCCCGCCUGGGGAGUACGGCCGCAAGGCUAAAACUCAAAAGAAUUGACGGGGGCUCGCACAAGCGGUGGAGCAUGUGGCUUAAUUCGAUGCAACACGAAGAACCUUACCGGGGCUUGACAUGGUAGAAGUAGGAGCCCGAAAGGGUAACGAACGGUAUCCAGUCCGUAGCUAUCACAGGUGUUGCAUGGCUGUCGUCAGCUCGUGUCGUGAGACGUUGGGUUAAGUCCCCUAACGAGCGAAACCCUUGUCUUUAGUUGCCAACAGGUCAAGCUGGGCACUCUAAAGAGACUGCUGUCGUCAAGACGGAGGAAGGUGGGGAUGACGUCAAGUCAUCAUGGCCCUUAUGUCCCGGGCUACACGCGUACUACAAUGGCUGGUACAAUGGGGUGCAAUACCGCAAGGUGGAGCGAAUCCUCAAAACCAGCCCUGGUUCAGAUUGGGGUCUGCAACUCGACCCCAUGAAGGCGGAAUCGCUAGUAAUCGUAGAUCAGCACGCUACGGUGAAUACGUUCCCGGGCCUUGUACACACCGCCCGUCACAUGACCCGAGUCGUCUGCACCCGAAGCCGGUCACCCAACUCGCAAGAGGGGGAGCUGUCCACGGUGUGGAGGGUGAGGGGGAUGAAGUCGUAACAAGGUAACCGUA
rnacentral:rRNA from 1 species